UACAGAGGGGGCAAGCGUUAUUCGGAAUUAUUGGGCGUAAAGGGCGCGUAGGCGGCUUUUCAAGUGACGGGUGAAAUCCCUCGGCUUAACCGAGGAACUGCCUGUCAGACUGGAAGGCUUGAGACCGGGAGAGGUGAGUGGAAUUCCCAGUGUAGCGGUGAAAUGCGUAGAUAUUGGGAGGAACACCAGUGGCGAAGGCGGCUCACUGGACCGGAACUGACGCUGAGACGCGAAGGCGUGGGGAGCGAACGGG
rnacentral:rRNA from 1 species